ensembl:snRNA U6 U6 spliceosomal RNA
GUGCUCACUCAGGCAGCACAUAUACUAAAACUGAAACAGUACAGAGGAGAUUAGCAUGGCCCCUGAGCAAGGAUGCUAUGCAAAUGCAUAAAGCGUUCCAUAUUUUU